rnacentral:tRNA from 3 species
GGGCGGUUAGCUCAGCGGGAGAGCACUUGCUUCACACGCAAGGGGUCACUGGUUCGAUCCCAGUACCGCCCACCA